AUUGAACGCUGGCGGCAUGCCUUACACAUGCAAGUCGAACGGCAGCACGGGAGCAAUCCUGGUGGCGAGUGGCGAACGGGUGAGUAAAGUAUCGGAACGUGCCCAGUCGUGGGGGAUAACGUAGCGAAAGUUACGCUAAUACCGCAUACGAUCUAUGGAUGAAAGCGGGGGAUCGCAAGACCUCGCGCGAUUGGAGCGGACGAUAUCGGAUUAGGUAGUUGGUGGGGUAAAGGCGCACCAAGCCGACGAUCUGUAGCUGGUCUGAGAGGACGACCAGCCACACUGGGACUGAGACACGGCCCAGACUCCUACGGGAGGCAGCAGUGGGGAAUUUUGGACAAUGGGCGAAAGCCUGAUCCAGCCAUGCCGCGUGCAGGAUGAAGGCCUUCGGGUUGUAAACUGCUUUUGUACGGAACGAAAAGGUUUGGCCUAAUAAGCUGAGCUCAUGACGGUACCGUAAGAAUAAGCACCGGCUAACUACGUGCCAGCAGCCGCCGUAA
rnacentral:rRNA from 1 species